UUGUCACCGGUAUUGAUCAAGAGAUUAUCACCUCUAUUGUUUAGGACUGGGGUUCGACUCCCCACAUCUCCACUUCUUGGGGAUGCCAAGGUUUCGACUGAACUAUAUGUGUAUAAUUGUUGACGGAUCGAAACAACAACUGCAAACAACGUAGUUAAAUUCCGCAGAACUGCCGUAACCUCCCUGGUUGCCGCACUUUGAGCGAUGGGGUCUUCGGGCCCC
rnacentral:tmRNA from 1 species